CUCCCGCCCCUCCUGUGCCGCUGAAGUCCCCUGCCUGAGUAGGCUGUGGACAGAGCCCCUAUUGUUCCCAGCCCACUCCUGCCUAAUAUGGAAUUCGCAAGGAAACCAAUGAUUUCCUGACACUGACGAUGCGUAGCCGCGUAGGGGCGAAUGUGGAAAGCUGUUUGGAGUACGAAGGAAUUAAACCGGAGCCGCAGACACUGCUUUUGAAACGGUUUCGUCGUCGGACCAGGAAAAUGUAAAACAUCGGAAUGCAAGUUAUAGGAGUUACGGUGAGUUUUCAUGAAACUGCUGUCGAUGGCGAGGGAUUGUUUUGGGAGCCCGAGCUAAAGCGUGGGUCACCUACUUGACGGAUUUGUCUGCGCGCCGUACAACACGCCAACUCGAGUGUUUAAACUGCCGACACGAAGACUUAACGUCUCAAAGAUUGAGAUUUCAAGUCGACCGAAGACUUGACUACCUGUGGAGAAUAUAGUUUCUGGACUUGCCCAACUAUCAUGCCUACUCUCGGCUCGAAAAGUAGGCAGAAUGCAGUGGAAGCGGUUGAGGAUGCAGGGACUAACAGAGAUCCUCUCGCUACUACGGCCAAAAAGAUGUUGAAAUGUGUUGUCGUCGGCGAUGGAGCAGUGGGCAAAACCUGUUUGCUGAUGAGCUACGCAAAUGAUGCUUUUCCUGAGGAAUAUGUACCUACUGUAUUCGAUCAUUACGCAGUGAAUGUAACUGUAUCUGGGAGGCAGCACUUACUGGGAUUGUACGAUACUGCUGGACAAGAGGAUUACAACCAGCUGCGGCCCCUCUCCUACCCCAACACAGACGUCUUUCUCAUCUGCUUCUCUGUCGUGAAUCCAGCUUCCUAUCACAAUGUGCAGGAGGAAUGGGUACCAGAGCUCAAAUCCUGCAUGCCUCAUGUGCCCUACAUCCUCAUUGGAACACAGAUUGACUUGCGAGAUGACCCAAAGACACUGGCACGUCUGCUCCAGAUGAAGGAGAAGCCACUGACCUAUGAGCAAGGCCUCAAACUAGCCAGAGAGAUUGGAGCCCAGUGCUAUCUGGAGUGUUCAGCACUGACACAGAAGGGACUAAAGACAGUAUUUGAUGAGGCCAUCCUGACAAUCUUCAGCCCAAAGAAACAAAAACGGGGCUGUGCGGCCUGCAGGAGCUGUUGUGCUAUCGUGUGAGGAUAAAACAUCUCCAACUGUGAACACCCACUCUCCUCCAACGCUUUGGGCAGAGUAACAGACCCUAAACCGCCUCCAGUCUGCUGUACAUCCUUCCUUUCUCCAUCCGCCUGUUGUCCCUCAGGACAAUGAACGGUCUUGCCCUCGGUUCGUGUGUCUCGUGGACAGUUGCACUGUCCAAAACAAGUGCCUUAAUUUCUUCCCGCACUGCCUUACGCAGGAUUCGCUUCUCAAGCCAAAGAAGUCUCAGACGGGACUGCGGUUACUUGAACCGACAUAGCGCGACGCCGCUAAUCUCCAAUCCAACAUUUCAGAUUCAGCUCUGGGCCAUUGGAUUUUUUUUAAACCGACUAUAUUAUAUGGUUUCUCAAGGCUUAUGAAAAAAUGAAAAUCCAUUCCUCCGUAUAAGCUGGCUUUCUCUCAGUCACCUCAAAUCAAUAUUGCGCUCUUUCUGGAGUCAAUGCUUCAGCAGUUUGAGCUAGUUAAUAAGGGAAAUUCUCUGGAGGAUGGCCAACUCAUCAAUAGAGGUAGAGCAGAUGGAAAAAGAGAGAGAGAUGAGGGUAAGAAGUGCAUCUUUACCACAAAUCUUUGGACCAUUCAAAAUUAGCAACUUAACACUGAUAAACUACACAUUCAAAGAUACAUAAAAUAAUGUUAUUCAUUAAAAAGAGUGACAAUCAAGCACACUACAGUAUGUGAAGACUGAAGUCUAUCAGUGACAAAGAGAUAAAGGGAAAAUGUAUUUCAUGACAACAUUAGCCCAUUCAUAUUUCCUUGUUUUUAAAACUGAGAUCCCAAGUGUACUUAGUCGCGUUUUCGCGAGCCAUCAGAACUUUAUCUUUAUACAGUGUAGGUGUAGAACAAUGAUGCCAUAUAAUGGUGCUGUAAUUGUUAUAUUUUUCAAACUCAUUUACAUUCUAAUUUUUGAAGGGGCCUGCAUUUUGUCUUCUCAAAUGACUUUGCCCACACAUUUAAAAAAAUUCUCUCAUUUUCCUUUAUUAAAAAUGAGCUGAUGGAGGACUAAAAGUAUGGAGGACUGUACGUGCCACCUAAAAUAAAAUGAAGAAAUCAGUCACCAAUGUAUUAAUUCAAAAAUUAAAAUCGACUGAUUUUUAUAAAUGGAUAAUGUUUCAAAUUACAACAUAGUUCAAACAGUUUAUUUAAUGUCAAAAAUGUAGUUAAAUUUACCAAAUAAUAUAAUAAUAAAUCAUUUUAAGUUAGCAUUACUCUACUUUCAGCCUCAGAUGUCACAUUUAUGGAAUGUUGGCUAAAUGUCUGAUGAAUAAAGCAUACAAAGUGGUAAACAAUUUGAGAGUUUAUUAGCUUCCAUUCAAAAUAGGCAUUUUCAAAAUGAUAUAAUAAAUUAUCUGUCAGGUAUUUUGAGCUGAAAGUUUAUAGACACAUUCUGGCAGCACAUGAGACUUAUAUUACAUAUUGUUAAAAGGGCCAUUAUAGGUCUCCUUUAAACACACUGAGGCUGUAAAAGCAGACUAGUGAGUAGAUGUGUUUUCUUGUUUGGCGUGAUGGUGCUUAAUGUCCCUGAAAACCUCUGUAGUCUCAUUUAGCCAGUUGUUAGCAACUGCCUUUUACAAGACAAGUAAAAGCUUUAAAAACAUCACAAGGGGGUAUUAUUGGUGUAUUUUAUGUCGUAGAAUAAAAAAGGAAAAUAUCUUGAACUUGUGUUCAUAAGACCCUAAUUUAGGCAUUUAAACAAAAACCUGUACAACAAAACACAUCAACAUUUGUCUACAAAAAUACAUCAUAUUGUUGUGAUCAUUUUAGUUUAAUUUAGCAUUUUAAACAUGAAUUAAAAGUUAAAGCUCUAAGUAAAAGGUGAUUCUCCUUUUUAUUGUCAUUUUAAUUAAAAUAUAUUCUUGUAUAUAUUUUUAUAAGGGCUGUCAAAUUAAUUAAUCGUGAUUAAUCACAACCAAAAUAAAAGUUUAUGUUUAAAUAAUAUAUGUGUGUGUACUGUAUAUGAAGAGUUUCUUUGCAAAAACAGAACUCAGUUUUUAAAAAAUGUAAAAAAUCAUGUUUUUUUUAUUGUGUUGUAUUGUGUUAGUUAGCUGUAUAUGUGUGUAUAUAUAUAUAUAUAUAUAUAUAUACACACACACACGUUAAUAUUUGUUAACUAUAUACAUAUAAAUAUAUACAGUACACACACACAUAUAAUGUAAACACAGAUUUGUAUUUUAAAUGCGAUUAAUCGCGAUUACUUGAUUUGACAGCCCUAAUUUUUAUUAUUAUUUUAUUUUAAGUGGCACUCCUAGUCAUCCACAUGAUCCAACACUGUGAAAAAACAAAACAAAAAAAAAAACACUAUCAUCCUAUCACUCCCCUUUUCAGCUGAAGUACUCAUGUAUUUACUGAGUACUAGGUUUUUACAUUGUCUAUCUUCUCUGUUUUCCCUCUGGCUGAAGCCACCCCCUUCAUUUGGAUGUGAUUAAUCACAAUUACUCGAUUUGACAGCCCUAAUUUUUAUUAUUAUUUUAUUUUAAGUGGCACUCACAGUCAUCCACAUGAUCCAACACUGUGAAAAAAAAAAAAAACACUAUCAUCCUAUCACUCCCCUUUUCAGCUGAAGUACUCAUGUAUUUACUGAGUACUAGGUUUUUACAUUGUCUAUCUUCUCUGUUUUCCCUCUGGCUGAAGCCACCCCCUUCAUUUGGAUGUGAUUAAUCACAAUUACUCGAUUUGACAGCCCUAAUUUUUAUUAUUAUUUUAUUUUUAAGUGGCACCCACAGUCAUCCACAUGAUCCAACACUGUGAAAAAACAAACAAAAAAAAACACUAUUAUCCUAUCACUCCCUUUUUCAGCUGAAGUACUCAUGUAUUUACUGAGUAUUAAGUUUAUACAUUGUCUAACUGCUCUGUUUUACCUCUGGCUGAAGCCACCCCCAUCAUUUGGAUGUUAUUAAUCACAAUUACUCGAUUUGACAGCCCUAAUUUUUAUUAUUAUUUUAUUUUUAAGUCUCACUCAUAGUCAUCCACAUGAUCCAACACUGUGGAGAAAAAAAAAAAAAAAAAAAAAACACUAUCAUCCUAUCACUCCCUUUUUCAGCUGAAGUACUCGUGUAUUUACUAAGUACCAGGCUUAUACAUUGUCUAACUGCUCUGUUUUGCCUCUGGCUGAAGCCACCCCCUUCAUUUUCCCCUUUAAAGAUCAGCUCAAACACAAAUGGCUUUGUUCUUCAGACUUGUUUUUUUCCUCAGGCAUGUAGUGUGGUCAUGCUGUAAACUGCACCGUUGAUCAUGGACUCUCAGCAGUCCCGCCUUAAAUAUGUGGCCUUUUCAAAAUGAGAUUGAUUUCCUGCUGUGUGUUGGUAGAAGUGUCCAAUAAUACGAACAGUAUUAUGUGUAGCCCUUGCAUUUUUGUUUUUGACAUGUGUUGAGCAAUAUAUAGGUUAACCAUCUGCCAAAGCAACCAUAUUCACUUACCAAAAGCUGUCCUGUGAGUAUUUGUAGUUCUCAGACGACCAUGUUAUUGGACACCAGAACUGGUAUCGAUUACUUCUGACUGCUCUUCACAUCAGUCGUUCCUUAGUUUGACCUCAGGGACUUCUUUCCGGAGCCCGCAAGGUGCUAGCGACCAUUCUCGGGUUGAGGAAUCAAGCCUGCUCCACAGAGAGGAAGAAUGAGCCGUCAUUCACUUGCCUUUAAUGUAGCAUAGAGUUUGUUUCUUCACUCAAUUUAAGUGCACUUACUACACUGUGCCUUGCAUUGUCCUAUGCAAUUGUUUAUAUACUGUAAUGCUAAUGAAAAGACCAGUUUUCAGUCGCUGGUUGAAAGAGCUAUAACUUGAACUCAGUCUUGAACUCAACUGUAAACUUAUAUUUAAUAUUUUUAAUGUUUUUUCUUUAAAUUUCAUGUACUGAUUUAUAUGCCUAAGAAACAUGACAGCUUUCUUUGCCAAAACUAAAAAUGUGUUGUAAAUAUACACAGAGUGAUUAAAGCUUGUGAUAAAACGUUAGAAUUGUCUUUGAAAUAUUCA